rnacentral:rRNA from 1 species
AGAGUUUGAUCAUGGCUCAGAAUCAACGCUGGCGGCGUGCCUCAGACAUGCAAGUCGAACGCGAAAGCUCCCUUCGGGGAGCAAGUAGAGUGGCGCACGGGUGAGUAACACGUAGGUAAUCUACCUUCGGAUGGGGAAUAACAACCGGAAACGGUUGCUAAUACCGCAUAAUGCAGCGGCACCUAAUGGUGACAGUUGUUAAAGCGGGGGAUCGAAAGACCUCGCGUCUGAAGAGGAGCCUGCGGCAGAUUAGCUAGUUGGUAAGGUAACGGCUUACCAAGGCGAUGAUCUGUAGCCGGCCUGAGAGGGCGGUCGGCCACACUGACACUGACAUACGGGUCAGACUCCUACGGGAGGCAGCAGUCGGGAAUUUUGGGCAAUGGGCGAAAGCCUGACCCAGCAACGCCGCGUGAAGGAUGAAAUCCUUCGGGAUGUAAACUUCGCAAGAACGGGAAGAAUAAGUAAGAGUUAAUAUCUCUUACGAUGACGGUACUGUUUGUAAGCUCCGGCUAACUCCGUGCCAGCAGCCGCGGUAAUACGGGGGGAGCAAGCGUUGUUCGGAUUUACUGGGCGUAAAGGGCGCGUAGGCGGCCACCGCAAGUCGACUGUGAAAUCUCUGGGCUUAACCCAGAACGGUCAGCCGAUACUGCGGGGCUAGAGUGCAGAAGGGGCAACUGGAAUUCUCGGUGUAGCGGUGAAAUGCGUAGAUAUCGAGAGGAACACCUGCGGCGAAGGCGGGUUGCUGGGCUGACACUGACGCUGAGGCGCGAAAGCUAGGGGAGCGAACGGGAUUAGAUACCCUGGUAGUCC